rnacentral:rRNA from 1 species
UACGAAGGGGGCUAGCGUUGUUCGGAAUUACUGGGCGUAAAGCGCACGUAGGCGGACUAUUAAGUCAGGGGUGAAAUCCUGGAGCUCAACUCCAGAACUGCCUUUGAUACUGAUGGUCUCGAGUCCGGAAGAGGUGAGUGGAAUUCCGAGUGUAGAGGUGAAAUUCGUAGAUAUUCGGAGGAACACCAGUGGCGAAGGCGGCUCACUGGUCCGGCACUGACGCUGAGGUGCGAAAGCGUGGGGAGCAAACAGG